rnacentral:lncRNA from 1 species
GACAGAUUCUGGGGCCCUGGGAAUAUUGGGAGGAAGGAUUCCAGACACUGGAAAUAGAGUUGCCAACAGAGGCACUCUGGGCACUAAAAAGCCCAAGUCUAGGCCUGGCAAUGUCCCCCAGGUCCCCAGAAGACAUCGUGGGGGUCACAUUGCUCCAGCUUUGGGGUCUUUUUCAAGCUCACUCAUCGACUAUUCCCAAGGCCUGCAAUCCUUCAGCCUCCUGCCACCCCUCCCCACCCACCAGUUUUGGUUUUCGCCUUGGCUGCAGGUCCCUGGGGUUCCAGGCCCCUGGAUUCCAUCCCUGUGGUUCUCACCGUGAGUCAUGGUGGCUCUGCUGUGCCGUCCUCGCUAUCUCGGGGAACCGGAGAUCCCCCUUAAUUCCCUCCAGCUGUGUCUCUACAGGGCUGAGGUCAUCCAUUCUGGCUCAAGAGGAAAGCAGAGAGUUUGUUGUGUCUUUGUUUCAUUCAAAUGGUUUGGACGGUGACUCACUCCAUUUCUUCUCUCUUUUCUUUUUAAACCAGGGCACCGUCUGGGAGUCGUUUUUGAUUAGAAGUUGACCUCAGAAAUAUGCUCACAUCAUUUUGAAAGCAUCUUCCAGCACCACAGAAAUCGACUCAGAUGGAGAAAGGACACUGAGUGGACAGGGGCCAGGAUGGGGCGUGGACGCUCUGCCUCUGCCGGGGACAAGGCCUUCCCACAGACUCCCUGGGGUGUUGCCAGCCUGAGUCAGAGGUAGGAGGCCAGCCCUGUCGAGCCCCCAUACACUUAUGUAUUGACCUGGGGCCAGUGCUGUGGAUGGCAAUGACCAUCAUCAUCACCAUCGUCAUCAUCAACACUAGCUACUAUUAUCAAGUGCUUAUUCCAACCCACAUGGUUUCUAAGGGAGUCACAUGAAGUGACCUCACAUCAUUCUCACAGCAUCCUGCCAGGCAGGUACCAUUGGCGUUUGCCAUCUGAGUAUUAUCACCAUCUGAGGUCCCACUCAGGAGCUGGGCAUGUCGAUAUUGAUGUAAUGCCUACCGUGUUCCAGACACGCUGCGAGGCCCUGGGGAUGCAGCCACAAUCCCAACAGAUCUGAUGCCUGCUCUCAUGGAACUGACUUUGCACUGGGGGGAGGCCAACUCCACGAAAACAGAAACUGGAUGACACAUUGGAGGGAGAGCAGUAAAAGGAGCAAGCAGAGAGCAAGAACAACAGUGUUGCCAUGGGGCGGGUGGGCCCGCUGUAGCCAGGGAGGGCCUCUCCGAAGGUAUAACAGUGCCUUGCUGAAUUCACUCCCACGACCCCUCCAUGCUUGGGUCAGGAUGCAUGAACCUGAAAGCACAUGAAGUCCUCUCUGGGAUCUUCUGCCUUUGGUCCUAACUGUUCUCAGGGGGAAGCGACUCUGAAGGCCAAGAGGUAAGUUUCCUAAGCAACCGGGCCUGCUGGUCUUGAGCCCUCCCCUGUGCCUUUUUUUUUGAGUCUCCCUCCGUCACACAGGCUGGAGUGCAGUGGCGCCAUCUCGGCUCAUCUCCGCCUCCAGGUUCAAGCGAUUCUCCUGCCUCAACCUCCUAAGGGAACCUGCCACCAUGGCCCGGCUAAUUUUUGUAUUUUUAGUAGUGACGGGGUUUCACCAUGUUGGCCAGGCUGGUCUCGAACUCCUGACCUUGCCUCGGCCUCCCAAAGUGCUGGGAUUACAGGCGUGAGCCACCAUGCCCAGCCCUUCCCCUCUGACUUCUUCUGUCUCAAAACUGAAAAGGCCUGUUACUUGAAACAGAGCUCUCCCAGACCUCUGCUUUACACUUACUAAGUAACUUCCCAGUGUUCAUCUUCUCCAGGGAAACCUGGCCGUACUUGAGUGAGGCUCAGUGAAAAGAACAUAAAACCCUCAAUAGGACCCUCAAUAGGACUGUAGCCCAGAGCUGUGGGUGGGGUCUGAAGAGUGAUGGUGGAACAGCAGUAAAUCCCCUCCCAGGCCACGCUGGUCAGAGUCAGCCACAGGCCUGAGCCGCUGGCUUGCCAAAGUCCCCAAGCCCAAGACACACAUUAAAAAGGCAUCGCCCUUCGACAAGUUCCCUGGGGGGCUUACAACCUCAGCACUGAUAUUUUACUUGCAUUUUUAUCCUCGGAUGCAAAGUCCUGAGGACACUCCUGAGGGACUCCCCAGGAGCCGAUUCCUCAGAUGCAAAAAGUCCUGAGGAGGGACAGUGGCAGAUGGCUGGAGAAUGUGCUCCUCCCCCCAGGGCUUCCUUCUGCCAUAGGGAAGUAGGGGUUCAUCUCAGCAGGCCCCAUCCUCUGGCAAUCAUGCUUCUCAAGCGUCAGCUCCCCUGGGUGUACUAAUAUAAACUCUAAGAUGGGCUGGGCACUGUGUGUGCUGGUUUAUUCCGAUUAGAAUAUGGAGAAGAUUAAAUAACAGCAACAGCAUCUAAGAAGCUGAGGCACAGAGAGGUAAUGCAACCUUCCUUCCUCAAUGUCUCAUCUGGACUUCACACCCCAGGGCCUCCUGAAACCUGCACGAUAAGGUCUUCUUAGCGGCCAGGCUCCUCUGUGGAGGCCCAUCGAGGUGGAUCUGCUGGGUGAGGGGCUCAGCCGAGCACCCUGGGAAACUCAGUUCCAAGGGGCUGAUUUCAAAUCCAGAAACCAAGUAGCAGAAUCCUGCGACUUCAAAAGCCACAACAAGGAAGCCCCCCGGGAGGAGCUGAAACCUUGAGUGGAGGGAAUCAGGAUUGGAAAUGACCUAAGCACAGGGCGGGGCUUCCUCAGUGGCUUCUUAGGUAGGUUUUCGGACCUCCCUGCCCACUCUGCUGUUCCCCAGUGCCGGACACCCACCACGGAUGGAGAGCCUCAUUUAACUGGACACCCACAACAAAGUGUGCAAAACCAAAAAGGAGCAGGCUCCAAAGACGUUGCUGCAUUUUUCCACGCAGGCCAGCCCUGGAAUCGGGGAGCAUGCAAGUUAAUGGGGCCUCAUCCCCCCUUCUCCCGCCCAACCCUGAGAUUCUCAGGGAGGUCCCCAGGAGUGUCCACUUCAGGAGUGGAGGGGUCUAGCCCUUAAGAGCAGGAGAAUGAGAAGAGAGGGCCUUCAGCCUGUCAAGUUUUCUUAUACUUUACUUAAAAAAAAAAAAAUUCAAGUUAAGGAAACACACAGCUGGAAAACAAAAG